rnacentral:rRNA from 1 species
UACAGAGGUCUCAACCGUUGUUCGGAUUCAUUGGGCGUAAAGGGUGCGUAGGCGGCGGGGUAAGUCAGGUGUGAAAUCUCGGGGCUCAACCCCGAAACUGCAGAGCUUGAGUGCCGGAGAGGAGGGUGGAAUUCUCGAAGUAGAGGUGAAAUUCGUAGAUAUCGGGAGGAACACCGGUGGCGAAGGCGACCCUCUGGACGGACACUGACGCUGAGGAGCGAAAGCGUGGGGAGCGAACAGG